GGCUCUGUUGCACAUGGUGUGCAUCUGCUUCAAAUGUUGGAGCUAGGCUUUUGUAUUCAGAGUGGAAGAUCCCGGUUCGAUUCCGGGCGGAGUCG